UACGAAGGGGGCUAGCGUUGCUCGGAAUCGCUGGGCGUAAAGCGCACGUAGGCGGAUUGCUAAGUCAGGGGUGAAAUCCUGGAGCUCAACUCCAGAACUGCCUUUGAUACUGGCGAUCUUGAGUCCGGGAGAGGUGAGUGGAACUGCGAGUGUAGAGGUGAAAUUCGUAGAUAUUCGCAAGAACACCAGUGGCGAAGGCGGCUCACUGGCCCGGUACUGACGCUGAGGUGCGAAAGCGUGGGGAGCAAACAGG
rnacentral:rRNA from 1 species